AAGACUAUACUUUUAGAAAUCAUUUCUAUAGUUCGUUACUAGAGAAGUUUCUCUGAAUGUGUAGAGCACCCGAAACCACAAGGAGGAGCACAGUGUUCUCUUCUGAGAGUGAAGCCAGCAUUUGGUGUUGCUUUUGCAACUGCCAAUAACCAUUGAUGAUCGUUCUUCUCUUUCUUUGGAAGAGUAAGAGGAAGAGAACACAGUCUGAGUGGU